rnacentral:rRNA from 1 species
UAAGUAAGCGGAGGAUAAGAAACUAAAUAGGAUCCCCUUAGUAAUGGCGAAUGAACAGGGGCCAGCUCAGCAUUAGAAUUGGAGCCUCGCGGCUCUGAAUUGUAGUCUGUAGAUGCACAUCCAACCUAGGUGCAGGCGUAAGCCUCUUGGAAAAGAGCGCCAACGAGGGUGAGAGCCCCUUUCGUCGCCUGCAGCCCUGAGUGCACGGAGUGCAUUCUAAGAGUCACGUUCCUUGGGAUUGGAGCGCAAAGCGGGUGGUACAUUUCAUCCAAAGCUGAAUAUAGGUUUGAGACCGAUAGCAGACAAGUACCAUGAGGGAAAGGUGAAAAGGACUUUGGAAAGAGAGUUAAAGAGAGCCUGCCAUUGCUGAAACGGAAGCGAAUGACACCAGUACGACUCUGCGAGAUUGCUGCGUACCAAUGGAAGGACCCGCUGCUUCAACGCAAGUGCGGCGACGGGCACCAGACCAGGACGCGCGCAGUGUUUCUUGCGUGGUUGGUUGUUGCAGCUGCGCCGUGCGGGGAAAAAUGCAAGUCCCUGGUAGCGCUCUUACGGGGGCGUGAAUGAGCUUGCACAUACUCGCGCGUGUAGCUGUUGAUGACUAAAUGGUGUCCUUCGACCCGUCUUGAAACACGGACCAAGGAGUCUAACACAUGUGCAAGUUCUUGGGUAGUACACCCACGAGCGCAAUGAAAGUGACUGCUGGGAUAUUUGCGCCAGCAACCGACCGAUCAUUUAGGUGAGGUUUGAGUAUGAGCAUAUCUGUUAGGACCCGAAAGAUGGUGAACUAUGCCUGUGAAGGGUAAACUCAGGGGAAACUCUGAUGGAGGCUCGUAGCGGUACUGACGUGCAAAUCGUUCGUCAAACAUGGGUAUGGGGGCGAAAGACUAAUCGAACCAUCUAGUAGCUGGUUCCCUCCGAAGUUUCCCUCAGGAUAGCUGGAGUUGUGCAGUUUUAUCAGGUAAAGCGAAUGAUUAGAGGAAUCUGGGACGCGUUGUCCUUGACCUAUUCUCAAACUUUAAAUGGGUAAGAUCCAGUAGUUACUUAGCUGAACUUCUGGGAUACAUGGUAACUCUAAGUGGGCCAUUUUUGGUAAGCAGAACUGGCGAUGAGGGAUGAACCUAACGCUGGGAUAAGGUGCUUAAUUUCUCGCUCAUCAGAUACCAUAAAGGGUGUUGGUUCAUUCUAACAGCAGGACGGUGGUCAUGGAAGUUGAAAUCCGCUAAGGAGUGUGUAACAACUCACCUGCCGAAUGGACUAGCCCCGAAAAUGGAUAGCGCUCAAGCGGGAGACCGAUACCCAACCAUUGAUGCAAACAUGCUGCGACAAUGAGUAGGAGGGCAUGGGGGCUUGUGAUGAAGCCUGUGGCGCAAGCCUGGGUGAAACAGCUUCUGGU